AUUGAACGCUGGCGGCAGGCUUAACACAUGCAAGUCGAGCGGGGUGAUGGUGCUUGCACUAUCACUUAGCGGCGGACGGGUGAGUAAUGCUUAGGAAUCUGCCUAUUAGUGGGGGACAACAUCUCGAAAGGGAUGCUAAUACCGCAUAAGUCCUACGGGAGAAAGCAGGGGAUCACUCGUGACCUUGCGCUAAUAGAUGAGCCUAAGACGGAUUAGCUAGUUGGUGGGGUAAAGGCCUACCAAGGCGACGAUCUGUAGCGGGUCUGAGAGGAUGAUCCGCCACACUGGGACUGAGACACGGCCCAGACUCCUACGGGAGGCAGCAGUGGGGAAUAUGGGACAAUGGGGGGAACCCUGAUCCAGCCAUGCCGCGUGUGUGAAGAAGGCCUUAUGGUUGUAAAGCACUUUAAGCGAGGAGGAGGCUCUUUUGGUUAAUACCCAAGAUGAGUGGACGUUACUCGCAGAAUAAGCACCGGCUAACUCUGUGCCAGCAGCCGCGGUAA
rnacentral:rRNA from 1 species